rnacentral:tRNA from 1 species
GCCUUCGUAGCUUCAGCGGCCAGAGCGCGUUCCUGGUACGAACGAGGCCACGGGUUCGAGUCCCGUCGGAGGCUCCA